rnacentral:piRNA from 1 species
UGCAUGUUUAAACUGCAGAGUCACAGCCCA